rnacentral:lncRNA from 1 species
GAACUGAUAGAGAGAACUGAACGAAUGAAGAAGACUAUGGCAUCACAAGUGUCAAUCCGGAGGAUAAAAGACUAUGAUGCCAACUUUAAAAUAAAGGACUUCCCUGAAAAAGCUAAGGAUAUCUUUAUUGAAGCUCACCUUUGUCUAAAUAAGUUGGGCCCAUGAGAUGUGUGCUCUGUAUAUUCCGGAGGUACAAUUUGCCAGUGUUUCCACAAUGGAACCAAUUGUUUUACAGUCUGUUCCACAUGAUCAUUGUAAUAAGGUUUCACCAUUACCCAAUGUGCCUUUAAAUACAGUUUUACCACUUAAUUGAAGGUACACAUUCCAACUGUGGAAGAAAUUGCAGCCAGCUUUAAGAUUUUAAAUGUUUUUGUGCAAAAAAACUUUUUAUUAUGUAAUUAAUAUUUAUUUUAUUUUAUUUUAUUUUACUUUUUAUUUAUUUAUUUUUUUUGAGACAGAGUCUCACUCUGUCACCCAGGCUGGAAUGCAGUGGCAUGAUCUCGGCUCACAGCAACCUCUGCCUCCCGGGUUCAAGCAAUUCUCCUGCCUUAGCCUCCUGAGUAGCUGGGAUUACAGGUGCCCACUAUCACGCCCGACUAAUUUUUCUAUUUUUUAGUAGAGACGGGGUUUUUUCUGUGUAUUUUUGCUUAUAGUAUAUACUUACGAAAAAGUUGAAUCGUUUUGCUUAUAUUUUUUGUUUGCUUUUGAAAAUUACACAGCAUCUUUUGUGUGUCAAUAAAUUGUGUUUCUGCUGUAUUUUUAAUAGAUACUUGGUCUGUAAUACAGAAUAUCAUGAGAUUCAAC